rnacentral:sRNA from 1 species
GCCAGGUGCAGUGGCUCAUGCCUGUAAUCCCAGGGACUCUGGAAGCUGAGACAGGAGGAUCACAAGUUUAAAGCCAGUCUCAGCAAAAAGAGAGGCAAUAAAACAACUCAGUGAGACCCUGUCUCUA